rnacentral:rRNA from 1 species
CUACGGGGUGCUGCAGUGGGGAAUAUUGCGCAAUGGGGGAAACCCUGACGCAGCGACGCCUCGUGAGUGAUGAAGGCUCUCGGGUUGUAAAGCUCUGUCAGUUGGGACGAAAAAGUAUAUGGCUAAUAUCCAUAUGCCUUGACGGUACCAGCAAAGGAAGCACCGGCUAACUACGUGCCAGCAGCCGCGGUAAUACGUAGGGUGCUAGCGUUGUUCGGAAUCACUGGGCGUAAAGUGUGAGCAGGUGGUGAACUAAGUCUGAUGUGAAAUCCUCUGGCUUAACCAGAGAACUGCAUUGGAUACUGGAUCACUAGAGUUCGGUAGAGGGAAGUGGAAUUCCUGGUGUAGAGGUGAAAUUCGUAGAUAUCAGGAGGAAUACCAGUUGCGAAGGCGACUUCCUGGGCCGACACUGACACUCAGACACGAAAGCGUGGGGAGCAAACAGGAUUAGAUACCCCAGUAGUC